rnacentral:lncRNA from 1 species
CAUAAUUUCCCCAGCCCGAAUGCUGCCUCUCCCUGUUCAGACUGCCUUAUCAGUUGAGUCCCGGCUGUAGGCCAGUCAGCCCACACCCCUAGCAGCACAUCCUAGGAACAUUCAUCUCCUCUCAGAAGUGUCAUCCCAGGACUGAGGUCUGUGUGGGCCUUUGACUAGCCUGGAGUAGACACUCUGCAUCUGGCUCAGCCUCCAGGACCAGUGACUGCCGAUGAGCGGUGAAAGAUGACGUCCAAGGGGGCUGCCAUGUCUUUCUCCCGAAAGAGCUAUAGGUUGACCUCAGAUGCUGAGAAGUCCAGGGUCACAGGCAUUGUGCAAGAGAAGCUACUGAGCGACUACCUGUACCGGAUCUUUUCCUCUCCUGACCAUGGGACCCCUGCAGCCACCAGCAGGAAACCGCUGAACUUCCAUAACCUGCCAGAGCAUGUGGACCAGCUGCUG